rnacentral:rRNA from 1 species
AUUGAACGCUGGCGGCAUGCUUUACACAUGCAAGUCGAACGGCAGCGCGGGCUUCGGCCUGGCGGCGAGUGGCGAACGGGUGAGUAAUGCAUCGGAACGUGCCCAGUAGUGGGGGAUAGCCCGGCGAAAGCCGGAUUAAUACCGCAUACGACCUGAGGGUGAAAGCGGGGGACCGAAAGGCCUCGCGCUAUUGGAGCGGCCGAUGUCGGAUUAGCUAGUUGGUGGGGUAAAGGCUUACCAAGGCGACGAUCCGUAGCUGGUCUGAGAGGACGACCAGCCACACUAGGACUGAGACACGGCCCAGACUCCUACGGGAGGCAGCAGUGGGGAAUUUUGGACAAAGGGGGCAACCCUGAUCCAGCCAUGCCGCGUGCGGGAAGAAGGCCUUCGUGUUGUAAACCGCUUUUGUUCGGGAAGAAAUCCUCUGGGCUAAUACCCCGGGGGGAUGACGGUACCGGAAGAAUAAGCACCGGCUAACUACGUG